rnacentral:misc_RNA from 1 species
GAAUUGUAUUCUCACAUUUUUGCAAGUGACCCGACAGUGUAUCAUGCAUCUCCUAUGGCCUUUUUGAAUUUGGUUAAGCAAAACUUUUUAAUUAUUCAUAUUUGGAAAUGACUUUUUGAUUGUUCCAUUUCGGAAUGAAUGUUUUAGCUUAUGUUAUUAGGGGGUUGUUAUCACAACUACCCCAUUAAAUUCACACACCUCCAACAACCAACCCCCACAACCACCAC